AAUCCAUAUAAACCCAUUUUUUUAACUAAUUUUAUGCUGGCUGUAUAACGAAGAAGUUUCGCGAGAGACGGCGUAUUUUUCGAUUCGAGUCGUCAAUCAUAGCAUGACGUGAAAUAUGUUUCGAGGCCAGUACUACUUAGCGGACCAAAACCUCGACCUCGUAGUACUAAUGCACGUGAUUCGAUUCGAAAGGAUUCCAGAGUUUUAGCUUGUUCUACAUGCUCUGCAAAUUCUCACCAGAUUAAGAUAUGAGGAUCGCAUUCUUUUGUUCGUUUAUUUACAAGCUGUUAAAGGCAUUACGUAAUGGGCAUCAAGUUUCCCUGUACGUGGUUCUUUUAGCACGUAUACGCAAUCGGUCGCCUCAAACGUUACUUUGUUCCCAUUGCCAUAAUUUUGUUCUAAAACCAGAUUUUCUACUCUCUAGAUUUUUCUGUAUUAAUCGUCUGAUUUUUUUUAUGAAAUGUACGCAAGUUGGGUAUGUCAGGGGAAGUCGUUGUGUGAUAAUGGCGUGGAUUUUUAAAUCAUCCGUUUGUUUGGGGCCGGUAUGCUGAUGUCAACACAUAGCCAAUUGUGAAUUCCAUUAUCUCGUUGGAAAAAGUCUCUUCUGUCAUUAUAAAUGAAGCGAGGUGCAACGAAGAUUGUGCUGAAUUAUCCGCAUUGGGCGUUUGCGAUUUCUUCAAUCCAACGAUGUUUGCAAAAUGACAUUCCGGGAUGGUGUUUGACGGUACUACACUUGGGAUAGAGGCUUCCAAGGUAAGCGUCCUGGCUUCAGUCAACUUUGGGGCGGUUCCAUUGGCAAUUAGGAAUUGCCCCACAUCAUUGCUGAAUCUUGCUGCCUAGAUCCAUAUUCUUGGUGAAGAUCUCACUUCAAUAUAGAUCAUCGAAGAUCGAGACCUUGUCCGUACGUGGAAGCACUCGCCUUGUUUCCAGUCUGCAGACAAGUGCAAUUAUUAAAGUCCUCCUUUUGAUCACGGAGUAACAGGAAUUUGUUGACAAUAUCCUUCAUUGAUAAAUUCUCACUUUCGUUAGAGAAUAUGUAAUACUCAGGCGUCAUGAUAGGUUCGA